UUUGUGAAACGAACAUAAAAAGCUGUAGUUCUAAAAAUAUUCAGAGAAUAAAUAUAAAAACAAUAUGGUCGCUUUGUACAAUGUCGAUGAAUUGGACCAAAAUCCCAAGACAUUGGGAGAUUGGGUCAAGAAUUUCCGCUUGAAAAAGAUACAAAUGAAACGAAAGUUGCGAGCUUCGGGUGCCGAACUAAGGGUCUGCGCCAUUUUGUCGACGGCUUUGAUGUCGGCCGAACUAGAAUUACGUCGCAAACAACAAGAACGUUUUCAAAAGUGGUUAGAAUUCCAAUCAAAAAUCAAUAAAAACCACGAACUGCAACCUCGGAGUGAACCUCUCAGCCAACAUCAACAGCAUUCAUCAAAUUUCAACGAAGAAGUAGUUCUUGUGGCAAGACAUGAAAGUGAUGCGCAAACCUGCAAACAAAGUGAAGAAAUAACCAAUUUGUGGAAAUGUGAACUGAGUGAACUAGAUAAUUUUAUGCGUAGCAUUAGCAGCAGCACAAAUAGUUGUAGAGACAUUAGUAGUAGUAAUGAAAAUGAAUCAAGACAAAAUGGCGACCAAAAUUUUCCAAGUGAAGUCCAGAAAAACUUCUUCCAGCAAUCAAUACAAGUGUCUAGUUAAUGUUGUAUUCGUAUUUAAUCAGCCAUUUCCUUGAUAGAGGAAAAAUCUAAAAAUUCCGUUGGGACCUUUGUCUGAAGUUACAUACCAUCCCCCAUUUACACAACUAUACCAUGGAAUCUAAGAAGUUACAUAGGCCACAUAAUAUAGUUGGUGGUACUUCUGAAACUGGCCAUUGGGAGACAUGACAAGGUCUUCAGCUAAUAGUCAACGACUGGGUGGAAAAGAUAAACCAAGAAAUCGGUUUGUAACUUUUUAUUUUCAUUUUAUUUAAAAUAUUGUGAAAUUACCCAGGAAUGAUUACUCAAGGCCAAAGAUAACGACCGACGCCAUUUUGUGAAAUAUUGUGUAUGUAUUGCCCACGAAAUAAACCACAUUGGAAAAUGGAAUGGCGAAGUUGUUGCAUUUGGUCACGUAUACAGAUAAACAACAAAAGAGCGAGCACUCUUUCUCGUAGAAAGAGACAGCAGUAUCAACACACCACUAAAGAAUCUGUGCGAUGAGUAAUCAUUGUUGGCUUUCGAGAAUGAAAACGUCAGCAUUUCCAAAGCGCCCUGCCUGCCUUCCUUCUAUACAAAAACUACGUUAUGGCGAUAUCAUGAGAUCCCAAAGGGAGGUAGAAGAAAUGUCUCGAACAAAUCCUUGUCAUUUUGAUGCCAAACGUCUAAUAGGCUUUAAGCAAGCGCAGAGUGAGUUGAACAUCGAAGAAAAUUCAUCUUUUUAGGAUACACCAAUUCCUUAACAUUGUUGGUUGGCACUCAUGGUCUGAAAAGUGCAAAUUCUACACAAAUUCUAUUCGUUCUAAAUAAUCUCAAAGAGUAGUGGAAUAUUAAUUUUGAAUCACGGCAAGCGGUGUGGGAGCAGUAAGAAAUGAAUGCGGUUACUGCCAUGGAGUAUGAAUCAGUCUGGCUUCAACAAAAUCAUGUUUAGUUGCUGUCCGGAACAACAUUCCUCCUCAUCAGUCCGUAUCAUGAACUUUGCAAUCAACACAAGGAUUUUUAAAUGGGAAAAAUGAAUGGUAUUUAUGAAAACUAUUUCUAUAAAUCACAACAUUUUUCCCGAAUUUUCAGUAAGAUGUGGGGCUGUUACCAUUGCUUCCCACAGAUGUUUGUUUUGCUGUUGUGAAUCGAUUGGUCGUCAGUCAGGCAGUCCGCAAACUGUUUGAGGAUGUUUUAUAUACGUUUAUCCACUUUCACUUUUUAUGUGUCAUAGAGCAGAUUCGUAAGCAGUAUCUACAAAUCACAAUGUAAAAUAACUUACAAUUUUAGGAAAAAAAAAUAUCCACACCAACCCAAGGAAAAUGCAACUACAUCAAUUGUUGCCACCAGUUAGGAUUUUCAGUGAAUUUUGAGAGCCUACAAGAGCCCUGAUUCAUUUCUUGAAAAUCGUAAGCAGUAUUAUGAAAUAUCUUUGCAAUAACAUGUAAUUUUAGGAUUUCGAAAUUUACGUGUUGCGAAUGAUAACGAAGAAUGUUCCAAGAAUGUCUACAAUUGCCUUUAAAUCAUCCCAUACCCUUCACACAUAUCAGCAGAGUACAAUACUUUAAACAACGUGAACCGUCCAUGAUUUCAUAAAUUAGUGGUCUGUUGGAGCGAAUCCCCUCUACCAGGUGACAACGUUUUUAUUAAAUAAUACCAGUUCAAAUUUUCUUUAGUUUGUAUGGCAACUCCUAAACAAAAUGAUACGGCUACAACAACAGCUACAGCAAUAUGCAUGUUCCAGGUGUAUUUUAUUUGAAAUAAUUUCUUUUGGAGAAGAUUGGGAUUUGAGGGGAUUGGUCUAUCCAAGAAAGCUGUAUCACAAACAUUUUUACUAAGCAUAAUCGACUGCAUCGUUGACCUUGAUCCGAAUAGUGUCAUUUCCACUGAUAUAAUUAAGGAGCAUAUUGACGGUAUACGCAAUUUUCCAUAACCCAAACAUGUAGAGUUCUAUAAUUUUUAGCAUUGCGACUCAGUUGAUCUGUGCCUGAGCGCAAUUUGUGAGCAAGUUCUGACAAUACUGCUGGCAAACUCUAAUCCUGUCCAUAUGGUGCUGAACUUCUACACUCAGUAAGGAAUAUGUGAAAUUAAAUAUCGGCUAAUGAAAUAUUUGCAGAAAAAACAUAAGCGACAAAUGGGUACUACCGAAAUUUCUCUGAGGGAUUCAUUAUCCUCCUUUUUAUUAAAGUCAACAGAAACAAAACAUAUUCCCACUGUAAGAACGUUGUAUUUCGUUUAAAACUAAUGCGAUUAUUCCAGAUACGAUUAUUUGUUGCUGCCUAUUAAAUAUAGAGGACUAAAAAGCAAUACAUGAAUACUUAGUUGCGAAAACCACCCUCCACACAGAGUAAGGAAGAAAGAAUUUCCUCUUUUGAAUAAUAUGAUUCUUACAGAUAAAAUACUGACAACUUUAAAAAGAAAUAACAUGCCUUUGGGAUAUUCACAAUGCACUAAGUAUUGAGGAAGCGUAAGAAGACAAUUUGGUUUGUUUUCACGUUUUGCUUUCCGGGUUUUAUACGACCUCCUUCAUAAAAAUGCUAAAAGCCUGUCUUUGUGAACACCAUUUUCUUGGAAAGAAUGUGCUUUCAUCGUUUCUGCAAUAGUAUCGCGUAAGAGAAUUUGUGGAGAAUUAUAUGUCAUUAAUUUCAUUUUCCAGAAAAUAUUUAAUAAGUUUCCCCCAACGAAAAUGACAGCAUGAAGAUGCUUUUAAGGCCCCCACAUCCAAAUAUUGGGUUGGUUUAAUAAUAAAUACAAUGGCUUUCGACCCUCGAUCAGGCAAGCUUUGCAUUCUGAACUUAACAAAUCGAAUAUGUUUCUUGACAAAUUUUUAGCGUUAUGACACAGUUGAACGGUGCCUGUGUAUAACUGGAUCGUAAUAUAAACAUGGAUGCUUGCAUAUGCGACAGAUCUCGUGUCACAAGUCCCAAUAUUCGACAUCUGCAAUAGUAUCGCGUAAGAUAAUUUGUGGAAAAUUAUAUGCGAUUAAUUUAAUUUUUCCAGAAAAUAUUUCAAAAGUCCCAACGAAAAUGACAGCAUGAAGAUGCUUUUAAGGCCCCCACAUCCAAAUAUUGGGUUGGUUAAUAAUAAAUACAAUGGCUUUCGACCCUCGAUCAGGCAAGCUUUGCAUUCUGAACUUAACAAAUCGAACAUGUUUCUUGACAAAUUUUUAGCGUUAUGACACAGUUGAACGGUGCCUGUGUAUAACUGGAUCGUAAUAUAAACAUGGAUGCUUGCAUAUGCGACAGAUCUCGUGUCACAAAUCCCAAUAUUCGAUAUCUGCAAUAGUAUCGCGUAAGAUAAUUUGUGGAAAAUUAUAUGCGAUUAAUUUAAUUUUUCCAGAAAAUAUUUCAUAAGUCUCUCCCAACCAAAAAGACAGCAUGAAGAUGCUUUUAAGGCCUCCACAUCCAAAUAUUGGGUUGAUUUGAAAAUAAAACUACAAUGGCUUUCGACCUCCUGAUCAGGCAAGCUUUGCAUUCUAAACUUAACAAAUCGAACGUGUUUCUUGACAAAUUUUAGCGUUAUGACACAGUUGAACGGUGCCUGUGCGUAACUGGAUCGUAAUAUAAACAUGGAUGCUUGCAUAUGCGACAGAUCUCGUCUCACAAAACCCAUAUUCGAUAUGGCUUUAAGACAAAUUUGACAGGCAAGAUUUCUAUUUUUUUAAUAUAAGAAACGAAGGUUUUUUUUGGAAAGAAUUUUUUAGCGUUAUAACACAGUUGAACGGUACCUGUGUAUAACUUGUAAAGGGAAUUACGUCGAUUGUACAUUUGGCUCAACGUAUAUAUCCUGGAUCAACGAAAUAAUUGUCAAGAGUUUUCAUUUGGAAAACACAGGCAAGAUUGUAUUUAUGAUUACGAAAAUCGAACAUAUUUCUUAACUAAAUUUUAGCAUGUACAGCAGUUGGUCAGUGCCCGAGCAGAAUGGCGAGACAGACACCCAUAAUAUUUAUUAAGCGUUUGAAAUAUACUUGAUUUAUCUACGUUGUUGUUGCCCCUUUCGUUUUCUUUUUCUACAUAUUUGCACAGAACCAGCAGCAAGACAUUUUUAACGCAAGAGACUCAAGGCGUAGAAAUACUCGUCCCAUUGAUUCUGUGGCACGGUGUGCGAUUUGAUUCGUUGUUCUGGUAAUUUUAACGCUUACACAUUUACCAAGAAGCAUUUAAUCCAUUUGCUUACAGAGAUGUUCGUUCAUCACAUGGGAAAAAAUAACCAGACAGCUAAGGGAAUCGCUAUAAUGUUGAGAUAUGCUAACGAUGAUGAUAAUAAGCCCGAUGUGAUGAAAGUUUUUUAACUUAAUAUACCACAAAAAUCAUCAAUAAUUGCACUCACGCCGAUCAGAGAUACAUUGUUGUGCACAUAAAUUAAAUAGUUGCUUUCUCUUUAGCAGAGCCCACCUCUGGGCACAGAACAUUGUUCUUCAGCUUUGAGUUCUAUAUAUCGCAAAUGAUAUCGUCUUUUCCGUGUUGCAUGUAAAUCAGCAAUCGAGAAGUGACUUGGUACCCCGAAAAAAUAUAGCUAAGGGAAUCGCUAAUAUAUUUUUUGAGUAGCCGUGCAAUAACAACGCCAUUCUUAAAUGUGUUCCUGCCGAUGUUAUUGCUGCGAGAACAAGUAUAAACAUGAUGACCGACAUGCUCCUUUAAAGUAAGCUCUGCACGACCCAAUCAUUACUAAUUAAUUUUUUACAGCACAGCCAAGCGAAGCUUAAAGAUGCUAAGGGAAUCGCAUAUGUAUAAAAUCAAUAUAAUAUCCCCCAUUUUGAUACAGAAUAUUAACUAAAUAAAUUGCUGGCAAUUUCGAUUUGUGUGGCAACAUAACAACACUGUUGAUGAUAAAGGAUCAAAGGAAUCGAGAAAAAAACUAACCAUGUCUCAUUAAAGAUUGUCCAAAAUCCAAACUUAAAAUGCUAAGGGAAUCGCAAACAUUUAAAUUAAUUCUCCUCUGAUCACUUCCCAUGUGAUCGCCUCAAACAUCCGUCAGCCGUGUAAGCAUACAUAUUGUUCAAAAGUAGAGAUGUAUAUAAAUGGAAAAAAGAAAUGCCACACAUCAGAAAUGGAACCAUAAAUGAAACGAAAUUUCCGCUGUCACAAGAUACAUCAAAUUCCCCGAGUCUGUAGUAUGUAAUUCACUGUGCUGCUGCUGCUGCGUUCCUUUCCUUCCCCUUUUCUGUUCUUUUAUCAUUUUUAGUAGCAUUUUUAUGUCACAGUUGAUCGGUGCCUGUGCAUAAUGCUUGUGGAAAUAUCUUGAGUUUUGGGAGAGAGCCAAUUGACUGGACACAGGGUCAAAAUGCGCGGCGGAUACACCACAACCAUCUGCUUUUUGUUUUUCUCUCUUUUUUUUUUGUUUCUUCGCUUUCUAUAACUUUUAUAGAUAAAUGCAACAGUUGAUCGGUGCCUGUUUGCAUUUCUUGGCAAAAUAAAAGAGAACCAUAGAAGAUUCCUCACAACAUGGCGCGACUUCAUCUUGCUCUCUUUUCUGUUUUUUUUUUUCGUCUCCGUUCUCCGUUUCUUUUUUACUGUGGUUUAUAUUUUUUUAGCUUUAUUAUGUCACAGUUGAUCGGUGCCUGUGCAUAAAUUAGACAUUUACUGGGAGAGGGUUGAUUGAAAGUAAUGUGGUCACCAACAACCUUUUGCAUGGAGUCAGGCGGGACAACAGCGAACAGAAUGUUUUGUCUCUUGUUUUUGUUUCUAUUUUAUGUUUUUUAUAGCCUUUAAAAUUAUGACACAGUUGAUCGGUGCCUGUGCAUAACCUUUUCGGAGGAUAGAGAAGAUGUUCGUUGGGUAUCUCCGAAUCCCGGCUCUUGAUUUAUUUUACCGAUAUUGCUACGGAGCUUUAUUGUGCAGCUAGUUUCGUGUUUUUGUCUUCUUUUUGUAUUGCUUUUCUUGCAUUUUUUGUAAAACAUUUUAGCGUUAUGAUACAGUUGAUCGGUGCCUGUAUAUAACUUGCCUAUAAAAUAAUUCUGAGGACUGAAAGAAUGACAUAUCGGUGACGUUGAUGAUGAAAUUACAGAUGGAAGAAAUAAUUUAUCUUUGCACACUUGACUCGAUUCGGUCGGUGGGACUUAAAAAUAUAGAUGUGCUGCUUGAGCGACUACAGCCAUUGUUGACUCUCGACAGCUAUUCAUACAACAGGUUUUUGUAUUUAUUACAUUUCCUUACGCUAAUGAUACCAUUUACAGGAAUCCGUCUUGCGUUGUUUUCUAUUCUGUUCUUUGAGGAACUUUCUUGAGUAUGUUUUUCUUUUCCCGCUAAAUUCUACACUACAAAAUAUCGUUAAAGGGAAUCCAUACGAUACAACAACUCGCAGGCCCUACAACCGCUAAAAUCUACUCUACUCCAUAUGUUUCUUAAAGGGAAUCCAAGAAACACGGCACCUGUAACCUCUACUUUCCUGCUUUUUGUUUCACAACUUUUUCUAUGUUUCCUUUUCUGCGCAACAUUGUCACUAGUUGUUAUUGUAAAUAAGUUUUCGAGUCAUAUGAACAUUAUUUUGUACUUAUAUAGAUAGACAUGUUCUCAACUAAACGAAUAAGACAAAAAGUAUCACAAAUUGUUGAACCAAAAACAAAUGAAUUGUAUGAAAAAUAUCUCUCACAAUGUAUAAAAAAUGAAAACAAGGAGAGAAACCAAUCAAAUAUGAAACAAAAUUCCAUAUUUAUAGAAAAAUUCUGUUUUAAACAAAGUUUUGUAAUUCUGAAAUAUUUUCAUAGACGAAAACAAAGUUUAUUGUUUUUAAACUAUAUAUUUUUCCAUGUAACCUCUAAAUUGUAAACUUUGUCAAACGUAGUUAUGCCUAUAUUUAAACUUUGUAACAUAAACUGGACAUCCUUAUUGCAAACACACACAAACAACAUACCCUAGAGAAACCAAACCGAUGACAUUUGUAUUCGACCGAGCUUCUUUUGGGUAGCGAAAUAGAGUGAGAUAAACCUUCAACUGCAGCUUCAAGUAUUUGGAAAUACCCUCUAUCCGAAAUAUGCCUUAUAUUACCAGAGAGAUGAUUAUAGUUGAAUGCCGAGACUGAAAGCGAGGAAGAUUAAAAUAGAAAAAAAAAAUAAUGGGAGACGUGUGUGCCUUAGAAUUUCCUGUGAAAGCAAACAUCUAAUUUUGGGUUUCUUCAAUUAUGUUAUCAAACCACCACCCCCUUCGAACAAAAAUUGAUGCAAUGGACGAAAGCAAGAUCAACGGAGCGUAUAAGCAGCUCUCAUUCCUGGCUAUGUUACAGAUUACCUGUGACUCCUAAUAUGCUAUUUAUGUCCGUGUUCGUCUGCAAAAGUUCGUUUUUGAAACUUGAAACAUCGAUUUUGCAUAUCGUGCACCAACCAUACCAACACCCGAAUUUCCUGUGUCUUCUAGACAGCAAAGUCUCUGCAGCUCUUGUUGACACAAAUCUUAAAUGAUAUCAUCAUCCCUGCAUCAAGCCAUUGCGUUAGUCGUAUGCAACGAGAGGGGUUUUUGAAUUGAUAUGUCGAACAAAAUCGGCCAUCGUAAAUGACUUUAAAUACACAACCCAUCCUACUUCAUUAUGUGGAAGGGCGUACUACUUUAUCAGACAACCACCGAAGCUGCUUAUAAAUGCGUAGUCACACCUUAGUGAGAGGUAACAGUUCAAAAGCGGCUGAAUUAACACAUCAAACAUCAUCAUCAUAACCGAUUACCAAAUUACAACUUUAAUCAUUUUCUCUAAUGGUGCUAAACAACACCGCAAAUCCUUUUUGCAACCUUCUGUGAAGAAUUUCUCAUCCAUCCCGUUUAAUGAAUGUAGCCCGAAUUUGUAUGGAUACAAUGUUCACCAUCUCGGGUUCUUUUUUAACUGGAAGACGAUGCAUUUGAAUAUAAUUGCUCGAGCCAUGCAUUCGACCGUUCUUCCGACAAUACGUACUGUAAUUUUCAUGUUGCAUUUUCUGGUGAAUGCAGAAACUCAACCGAUAUACAAUAGGAACAUUGAGAUACAAUAAUCGUAGAACACACAAUUUACAAUCAUGAUGUAAAAAUUUGCAUUUGUACUGGCGUUGCGGCAAACAAUUUCGAAUCGUCUGCAUAUGGGUCCAGAUCUAUUACGAACUUCUUCUGAUUGUAGUCAUUGGAACUAUUCCAUUGGUUAUCUGUGUGGAACAUUCUUCGUAUUUGGAAAGCGUAGCGUAAACUAUUCAGUCAGCCAAUUUUUCUUGUCUUGUGUCUAUACUGGGAAGAGUAUCACUUUGUCUGCAGCGUACAUCGAAAAUUUAUUCAGUUGACUGCAACGAGGGAAUUAGGAAUUGACGGCAGCGUGGGACACCAAGUGUUGACGGCAGCGUGGGACACCAAGUGAUGACGGCAGCGUGGGACACCAAGUAUUGACGGCGGCGUGGGAUACCAAGUGUUGACGGCAGCGUGGGAUUCCAAGAAUGGACGGCGGCGUGGGACUCCAAGGAUUGACGGCAGCGUGGGAUACCAAGCAUUGACGGCAGCGUGGGAUACCAAGCAUCGACGGCAGCGUGGGACUCCAAGAAGGGGCGGCGUGGGAUUCUAAGGAUUGACGGCAGCGUGGGAUUCCAAGGAUUGACGGCAGCGUGGGAUUCCAAGUAUUGACGGCGGCGUGGGACACCAAGGAUUGACGGCGGCGUGGGACACCAAGGAUUGACUGCGGCGUGGGAUUCCAAGGAUUGACUGCGGCGUGGGAUACCAAGUAUUGACGGCGGCGUGGGACACCAAGGAUUGACUGCGGCGUGGGAUACCAAGAGUUGACGGCAGCGUGGGACACCAAGUGUUGACGGCAGCGUGGGACUAUAUGGUUCGGCAGCAGUGGAUAACUCUUAUGUCAGGACAUAGUAGGGAUAUUUUCGACGUUUAGUUGGGUUCCUCUUUUUCCACAUUUUUCCUAGCUGUAUUUCAAAGAUAAUCGCGUGGUUUUUUUUUGAAGGACCAUUAUUUAUUUCAAGGGACAUAAACAUUGUGUAGAAUUUGUCGAUUUCCCCAUAUCCUUGCAGUAUUUUCCAUACUUGUUAUUUUUUGUCCGUAUCAUUUCUUAAUGCAAAUCCAAACUAUUUUUAAUAAAAUGUUCAUGCAUAUAUUUUUGAAAAGAAUUAAAACAUGGUUUCAUUAAUCAAUAAAACCUUCCUAAAAAUUAAA